UUUUUCCUUCUCUUUCCUCUCGUGAAACCUCUGCUAGGGUUUCGUCCACCUCGCCUCCACCACUGUCGCUGCUUGAACCAACGCCGCCGCUACCACGAGGAAGGUGACCUCCUUUGCUUCUACCGCAAGGAAGAUGACCGAAGUUGCGGACAGCAAGCAGCAAGCAUCCUUGGACAUUUUCAUGCUAGAAUAGGGUUUGGGUCAUUGCGAGGAGGGUAUCUGAAGCUUCUGCAGGUGAGUAACAAUGCCUGCUGAAGCACCUCGGCUAGACACGACAAGCAAAAACGGCCGGCUGAGCACUACACCCGGUCAGGGCCUUUUAUUCUGGUGCUUGGGUCAUUGCCAGAAAAGAAGCAGUAAGGUUUUGGGUCCGUCAAAAGGAACAAUGGUGAAAAACUCCAGCUAUUGCAAGAAACAACGAGGUCUCAUCCAGAAGCACAUGCAGCAGCGACCCUCAAGCUCUCUGCUUAGGUUUCGGUCGCUGUGGUACAAGGAUGACAAAACAUAAGGCUUCCAAAAAAGGUGAUCUGGGGAGUCUGCGCUUUCGCGCGUUUGCCAGAUCAAGCGCAUCAGUGGGCUCUCCGACAGUAGUAAACUCCUGGGUUAGGCAUAUGUGAUCGGCUCUGAGUCUACGCAGCAUGUUCACCAGUGGCGUAUCCAAUGUGAAGAAGGCAGUAGCAACACCGACUAUAACACGUGGAGAAGAAGAGGAAGAAGAAAAAUGGAAGCAGAGGUGAUGUUCACGGGUUUGCUUCUAUGAGGCGCUGACUUGGGAGAAAGACAACCAACCCUAAAUCAGAGUAUUGCUGGGCAUUUAUAGGCCAGCCUCGUAGGUUUUCCCGAUGCCCAACGGGCGGUUAUGCCUUGUGAGAGAAUGAUUCAGAGGACCUGGCAUCGAAGAUGACGAUUGAUCGGGGUGAGGUGAAAGGCGGUCUAUAUGUUCUUCAGCAAGGACCAAUGCGUGCUCACACUUAUUUUUCUCUUUCAUUGCAUGAACUUUGGCAUAAGAGAUUAUGUCUUAUUUCAUCUUCUCGUCUAAAAUUAGUGAACAGAAAUUCAGAUUUAAGUCAUUUUUUGAAUAAUGAUUAUAUGUGAUGUGUGCCAUCGUG